rnacentral:rRNA from 1 species
ACGCUCGACACCUACGGGAAGCAGCAGUAGGGAAUCUUCCACAAUGGACGCAAGUCUGAUGGAGCAACGCCGCGUGAGUGAAGAAGGUCUUCGGAUCGUAAAACUCUGUUGUUAGAGAAGAACACGAGUGAGAGUAACUGUUCAUUCGAUGACGGUAUCUAACCAGCAAGUCACGGCUAACUACGUGCCAGUAGCCGCGGUAAUCUGAGCGGGCUGGCAAGGC